UAUGCCAAAUGGUCUUCGAAUUGGAAAAAUCGCCCGGUUUGAUUAAUACCUAUGUCCCCAUGUGAUGUAACUUACCGAAUCAAAAUGCAAGUUGGCCCUCGAAGCGUUGGUCUCCAAAACGGUAUGAGCGAGACCUGGUGUCCAUCGUCUUCUUUCACGGUAGACUUCGAUUCUCCUCAGGGAUCAAUCAAAAACCAGAGCCGAACCAAGUAAACUGGAAAUCCUCCGAGGGGAGAGCGGAGAUGGUGGGAGGUGUGCGAGGAGCGAGCAAGAGGCGACCACCGGAUGCCGUCCGGACGCAGGCCGUGAUCGUGAGCUCUCGCGAGAGAAUUGGACGACGUCGUCGCGCAAAUGGGGAGAGAGAGAGAGAGCCACGCGACCUCAAAACGCACACGAAUCGGAGCACAAAAAAGCCGGUUGGAUCCACCAGCUUCGAUCGUCGCUGCCGACGCCGUCGGAGACUCCGUCUGAUGGGUUGUUGUAGGAGUCUUUUCUGGGACCAUGGCAGAUCUAGGUUUUCCUGCAGUCAGUUUGGUGAAGCCAUCAUUUUUAAUACCUCCUAAAAGCAAAACAAUUAUGUGGUGCCAUUUGCUACUUUUGUUGGUGUCAAUCACCACAAGCAGCUGGUUCUUCUUGGGUGUGCUCUAGUUGCUGAUGAAUCAAUGGACCCCUUCAUAUGGUUGUUUGAGACAUGGCCCAGGGCAAUGUCUGGCUGCCAUCCCAAGUUGAUAAUAGCUGAUCAAGACGAUUCCAUUCUGCAAGUGCCUGAACAGGUUUUUCCUUCGAGUCAUCAUCGAUUCUCAAUGUGGCAAAUUAAGACAAAAGAACGUGAGUAUUUGAGUCCACUAAGUCAUGAUUGUAAAUGUGAAUAUGAGAAGUGUGUUUAUAAAAGUCAUACCAUUGUGAAUUU